rnacentral:rRNA from 1 species
CCUACGGGAGGCAGCAGUAGGGAAUAUUGCUCAAUGGGGGAAACCCUGAAGCAGCAACGCCGCGUGGAGGAUGAAGGUUUUCGGAUUGUAAACUCCUUUUGUUAGAGAAGAUAAUGACGGUAUCUAACGAAUAAGCACCGGCUAACUCCGGGCCCGCAGCCGCGGUAAUACGGAGGGUGCAAGCGUUACUCGGAAUCACUGGGCGGAAAGAGCGCGUAGGCGGGAUAGCAAGUCAGAUGUGAAAUCCUAUGGCUUAACCAUAGAACUGCAUUUGAAACUGUUAUUCUAGAGUAUGGGAGAGGUAGGUGGAAUUCUUGGUGUAGGGGUAAAAUCCGUGGAGAUCAAGAGGAAUACUCAUUGCGAAGGCGACCUGCUAGAACAUAACUGACGCUGAUGCGCGAAAGCGUGGGGAGCAAACAGGAUUAGAUACCCUUGUAGUC